rnacentral:rRNA from 1 species
UACGGAGGGUGCAAGCGUUAUCCGGAUUCACUGGGUUUAAAGGGUGCGUAGGUGGGUUGGUAAGUCAGUGGUGAAAGCCCAUCGCUCAACGGUGGAACGGCCAUUGAUACUGCAAGACUUGAAUUAUUGGGAAGCAACUAGAAUAUGUAGUGUAGCGGUGAAAUGCUUAGAUAUUACAUGGAAUACCAAUUGCGAAGGCAGGUUGCUACCAAUACAUUGACGCUGAUGGACGAAAGCGUGGGGAGCGAACAGG